rnacentral:lncRNA from 1 species
CUGAAAUGUAUUCCUCUGUUAUAUGGGCGGGCUCCCAACUUCAACGCUUGAAAUAUAAAGACUGAAAUGUAUGCCUCUGUUAUCUGGGCGGGCUCCCAACUUCAACGCUUGAAAUGUAAAGACUAAAAUGUAUGCCUCUGUUAUCUGGGCGGGCUCCCAACUUCAACGCUUGAAAUGUAAAGACUGAAAUUAUGCCUUUGUUCUAUGGGCGGGCUCCCAACUUCAACACUUUUCAAAAAUAAAUCGCCAUUCUGUUCUUCAGGGAGGCUCCUGAUUACUUAAAAUUUGAAUUGUAUUCCCUUAUUCUCCAGGUGGGCUCCUGAUUGCUAAAUUUGAAAUUGAAUGUCUCUAUUCUCCAGGCGGACUCCUGACUUUUAAAAUUUAAACUGUAUGUCUCCGUUCUUCAGGUGGACUCUUGACAUCAAACUUGAAAAGUAUGUCUCUGUUCUCCAGGCGGACUCCUGAUUGCUAAAUUUGAAAUUGAAUGUCUCUAUUCUCCAGGCGGACUCCUGAUUUUUAAAAUUUAAACUGUAUGUCUCUGUUCUUCAAGCGGACUCCUGACAUCAAACUUGAAAAGUAUGUCUCUGUUCUCCAGGCGGACUCCUGAUUGCUAAAUUGAAAUUGAAUGUCUCUAUUCUUCAGGCGGACUCCUGACUUUUGAAAUUUAAACUGUAUGUCUCCAUUCUUCAGGCGGACUCCUGACGUCAAACUUGAAAAGUAUGUCUCUGUUCUCCAGGCGGACUCCUGAUUAUUAAAUUUUGAAAUUGAAUGUCUCUAUUCUCAAGGCGGACUCCUGAUAACUUGCAUUUAUCCUGAUUAGUGCUUGUUUUCCCUCCUGGAGAAUUCCUCCUCAACAACUAACU